rnacentral:misc_RNA from 1 species
AACAUCGCGCACCUGCGGGAACCUGCGGAAGGAUCGUUACAGAGUUGCAAAACUCCCUAAACCAUUGUGAACGUUACCUAAACCGUUGCUUCGGCGGGCGGCCCGGGUCCUUCCCGGCGCCCCUCGGCCCUCGCGGGCGCCCGCCGGAGGUAAACCAAACUAUUGCAUUGUAUGGCCUCUCUGAGUCUUCUGUACUGAAUAAGUCAAAACUUUUAACAACGGAUCUCAGAUCGGAAGAGC